rfam:Anopheles stephensi strain SDA-500 unplaced genomic scaffold supercont1.8, whole genome shotgun sequence.
UCAUUGGCUCUUUUCAGAGCCACCAAAUUUUCCAAAAAGAUAUUUGU